rnacentral:rRNA from 1 species
UGAACGCUGGCGGCGUGCCUAAUACAUGCACGUCGAGCGACCAGACGAGGAGCUUGCUCCUCUGACGUUAGCGGCGGACGGGUGAGUAACACGUGGAUAACCUACCUAUAAGACUGGGAUAACUUCGGGAAACCGGAGCUAAUACCGGAUAAUAUAUUGAACCGCAUGGUUCAAUAGUGAAAGACGGUUUUGCUGUCACUUAUAGAUUGAUCCGCGCCGCAUUAGCUAGUUGGUAAGGUAACGGCUUACCAAGGCGACGAUGCGUAGCCGACCUGAGAGGGUGAUCGGCCACACUGGAACUGAGACACGGUCCAGACUCCUACGGGAGGCAGCAGUAGGGAAUCUUCCGCAAUGGGCGAAAGCCUGACGGAGCAACGCCGCGUGAGUGAUGAAGGUCUUCGGAUCGUAAAACUCUGUUAUUAGGGAAGAACAAAUGUGUAAGUAACUAUGCACGUCUUGACGGUACCUAAUCAGAAAGCCACGGCUAACUACGUG